AAGUCGUAACAAGGUUUCCAUAGGUGAACCUGCGGAAGGAUCAUUAACACGUAUCCAAACGUUAAAACCCCCCCCGUGAACCUUCAUCCUGCUCUUGUAACCCGCGUAGUUCGCAAUCUCUGAUAAAUCAUACCGAACAUUGGAACAGUUACAAUCGAGCGGUAGUUCUAUAGGCAAUGUUUCCCCAAGCAGUCAGUGUCGGAAAGUGUCAUUGAUUGUGCAAGGAUAGCGCUUCUACGAUUCCUGUAGACCGUACACUCGGGCAGGAGCUUUGCCAAAGGGUCCCCAUGCCCCCUAAUAACCCCACAGUUUAAUGUGAAGCUCAAUGUAAUACAUUGGGUAAAAAAACCGAACAACUGUUAACAAUGGAUAUCUUGGUUCUC
rnacentral:misc_RNA from 1 species